UACGGGGGGAGCAAGCGUUGUUCGGAUUUACUGGGCGUAAAGGGCGCGUAGGCGGCGCAACAAGUCACUUGUGAAAUCUCCGGGCUUAACCCGGAGCGGCCAAGUGAUACUGUUGUGCUAGAGUGCGGAAGGGGCUACUGGAAUUCUCGGUGUAGCGGUGAAAUGCGUAGAUAUCGAGAGGAACACCUGCGGCGAAGGCGGGUAGCUGGGCCGACACUGACGCUGAGGCGCGAAAGCCAGGGGAGCGAACGGG
rnacentral:rRNA from 1 species